UACAGAGGUCUCAAGCGUUUGUCCGGAAUCAUUGGGCGUAAAGAGCGCGUAGGCGGCCAGAUAAGUCCGGUGUGAAAGUCAAAGGCUCAACCUUUGAAUGCCGCUGGAAACUGUCUGGCUAGAGUCCGGGAGGGGCGAGUGGAAUUCCUGGUGUAGCGGUGAAAUGCGCAGAUAUCAGGAGGAACACCAAUGGCGAAGGCAGCUCGCUGGAACGGUACUGACGCUGAGGCGCGAAAGCGUGGGGAGCGAACAGG
rnacentral:rRNA from 1 species